GUUUCACUUUCUAACUAUUGAUGACCUCUCAUCAAUUCUUUUCCAUGGAUAACGCCUCCUCAUCAUACAAACUCCCACAGAACUACGAUGUGCUCAUCAAUUUCAUUGGAGAAGACAUCAACAGAAAAUUUGUUUCUCAUCUCAAUUCUGCCCUCUCUACUGUUGGUCUCACCACUUUCCUUCUUCACCCAAAUGCAGUGAAGUCAUCUCACAUCCAACAACCUAUUCUCGGCCAAUGCUGGAUAGCAAUUGUUGUUUUCACCCAAACCUAUUCUCAAUCUGCUUGGUGUCUUAAUCAGCUUCAACAAAUCAUCAAAUGGCACCAAACUUAUCGCCUAAAAGUUCUGCCCGUAUAUUAUGAAAUCCAGCCAUCUGAUGUACGUCUUCAGAAGGGUGACUUUGGAAAAGCCUUGAAGGCAACUGCUCAACAAACAUUUUCAGGAGAAGAACUGAAGCAUGGCAUGUUCAUGUGGAGCCAUGCACUCACCAAAGCUGCAGAAUUCUUUGGAUGGGAUGAGAGCAGUUACAGGUACAUCACUCACUCCAUCAACCAUCUUUUAAGCCUCCGAUUUCAUUUUUUUAAUGACAUUUUGUUAUUAUUGCUCUUGAACUUCAAGGAAUGAUGCUGAAUUAGUGGAGCAAAUUGUUAAGGCGUUGCUAAAUUUCCAGUUGAGUUACAAGCGAAAGAUCUUAUUCGAACUAUAAAAAAUAAAUCCACUGAAGUUUCUACGAUAGAGAUAAUAGGAGGCACGGAUCUGGUAAAACAACUAUUGCCAAAGCGAUCUACAAUCAAAUUCAUUGGACAUUCAAGGAGAAAAGUUUCAUUGAAAAUACUUCACAAGUUAGCGGAAUAAGAGGGCAACUUCGUUUACAAGAACAACUUCUUUUAGAUGUCCUAAAACAAAAGGUGGAGAUUCCUAGCGUUGAUGUGGGAAGAACUAUGAUUCGGGAAAGACUUUUAGGAAAAAGGGUUCUCAUUGUACUUGACGAUGUUGUUUGCUUUAAUUUAUUCGACGUAUUGGAUUGUCUUAAAUGGUUAGUUGAAAAAAGCAUUUUGAACCAAAUUAUGUUCCUUCUACUGAAUUCUGAUCUCAUUUCUCUCUCUUUGUCUGAAAGAGAACCUCACAUUCACCCAUCUUUUCUCAUCUUCUUCUUCAGGUCAAACUAUACACUCUGAGGAAUUAUAGAUGGAAGAUUCUAUGAGUUUUUCUAUUCUGUAAUUUGUUGCAGUUUAUUUCCAAUUAUAAGCCAGAAUUCUCUGAUUGUACUGUUGCAUUCUGCAUAAAUAAAAUUCUCCGUUUCAGAGAGAGAGAAAAAAUGCAGAAAAAAAUAUCAUUUUGAAAAGAUUUAUCUCACUAAUUUCGAACAAACCUUUUCAUAAUACAUUUCAUGUAAGUGUUCCGGAAGACAUUAUGAGUUGUGGAAAAUCUUUUCCAAAAAUCUCAUUCUGAAUAUUUAUUUCAAAACACAUUCUCAAAAUGCUGUUUUGAAAAUCACAUUUAAAAAUUUCAUUCCAAAAAUUCUGUUCAGAAAAUUUUAUUUCAGAAAUAUUAUUUCGAAAAUUCCAAAAAAAAAAUAUAACCAAUCAAAAUUUCUAUAUUUUGACCAGGGAUAUAUUUCUUAUUAGUUUUAAAAAUAAUUUAUCGCAUGAUGGAAUUUUUUUCUCCUUAAAAUUUUAUAAUUAAACUAAUUGAAUGGCUCGAAACUUGUUCAUAUAAUUCAAAAGUUUUAGUUAAAUUUAGUAGUAUCUCGACAUGGAAAAGAAUAUUUUAAAAUUCAAAUCCAAUGCACAUCAAGAAGACGGAAAAUGAAUAUUAGUCACUGGAAAAGAAUAUUCUUAUUGAGAGUUAUUCUUUUCUAUCGUAAUAGGAUAAAAUAUGAACAAGAUGGACAAUUUACCAGUUUUUUAGAAAUGUUUGAUAACAAUUACAUAUUAACAUCCUUUUUUUUAUCAUACUGCAAAUGAAUAAUUACUUCCAAAUUUAAAGCGAAAUCGAUUAUAAUUAUACUACACUUUAAAGUCAACAUAGUGACCGAUAGGACACGCUAAAGGUCCAUUGUAUUUAACAUUUAUAAAGAAAAUAUCUCUUUAAUAACUUUUUUUUGACAACACAUACAUGACAGUCUAUGAUUGGUCUGUUUUAAAUAUUUUUUUAAAGAUAAAUUCAAACAUACCAAUAAAAUGAUGACACGUGUCCUCUUGUAAAAAAAUUGUUAAAAAAAAGUUGUCAAAGUAUCAUCGUCCCAUUUAUAAAUAAAAGAUUAAAACUAUAUGAUUGUAAUAAGAUACAUUCAUCUCCUUCUCUGUCUUCUAGUAUUAGUUUCUCUUUCUAACUCUUCCUCACCUCUCAUCAAUUCCUAUCCAUGGAUAACGCCUCCUCAUCAUACAAACUAUCACGGAAGUACGAUGUGCUCAUCAACUUCACUGGAGAAGAUAUCCACAGAAAAUUUGUUUCUCAUCUCAAUUCUGCCCUCUCUACGGUUGAUCUCACCACUUUCCUUCAUCACCCCAGUGCAGUGACGUCAACUCAAAUCCAAGAACCUGUUCUCAGUCACUGUCGUGUAGUAAUUGUUGUUUUCACCCAAACCUAUUCUCAAUCUGCUUGGUGUCUUAAUCAGCUUCAACGAAUCAUCAACUGGCACGAAACUUAUAGCCGACAUGUUCUGCCUGUAUAUUAUGAAAUCCAGCCAUCUGAUGUACGGCUUCAGAUGGGUGACUUUGGAAAAGCCUUGGAGGCAACUGCACAACAAACAUUUUCAGGACAAGAACUGGAGCAUGGCAUGUCCAGGUGGAGGCAUGCACUCACCAAAGCUGCAAAUUUCUUUGGAUGGGAUGAGAGCAAUCACAGGUACAUCACUCACUCAAUCAACUAUCUUUUAAGCCUCCGAUUUCAUUUUGCUAAUACAUGACUACUUCUAUUAUUGCUCUUGAACUUGAAGGAGUGAUGCUGAAUUAGUGAAGAAAAUUGUUGAGAGCGUUGUUAAUUUACCAGUUUUGUCUGCUACUAAAUUUCCUGUUGGAUUACAAUCCCGCGUGGAAGAUCUGAUUCGAACUAUCAAAAAUAAAUCCACUGAAGUUUGUAUGAUAGAGAUAUUAGGAGAGCGGGGAUCUGGUAAAACAACUCUUGCCAAAGCGAUCUACAAUCAAAUUCAUUGGACAUUCAAGAACAAAAGUUUCAUCGAAAAUAUUUCACAUGUUAAAGAUAUAAGAGGGUUUCUUCGUUUACAAGAACAACUUCUUUUAGAUGUCCUAAAACAAAAGGUGGAGAUUCCUAGCCUUGAUGUGGGAAGAACUAUGAUUCGGGAAAGACUUUUAGGGAAAAGGGU
rnacentral:lncRNA from 1 species